rnacentral:rRNA from 1 species
AGCGGCGGACGGGUGAGUAACGCGUGGGUAACCUGCCCUAUACACAUGGAUAACAUACUGAAAAGUUUACUAAUACAUGAUAAUAUAUAUUUGCGGCAUCGCAGAUAUAUCAAAGUGUUAGCGGUAUAGGAUGGACCCGCGUCUGAUUAGCUAGUUGGUGAGAUAACUGCCCACCAAGGCGACGAUCAGUAGCCGACCUGAGAGGGUGAUCGGCCACAUUGGAACUGAGACACGGUCCAAACUCCUACGGGAGGCAGCAGUGGGAAAUAUUGCACAAUGGGCGAAAGCCUGAUGCAGCAACGCCGCGUGAACGAUGAAGGUCUUCGGAUCGUAAAGUUCUGUUGCAGGGGAAGAUAAUGACGGUACCCUGUGAGGAAGCCCCGGCUAACUACGUGCCAGCGGCCGCGGUAAUACGUAGGGGGCUAGCGUUAUCCGGAUUUACUGGGCGUAAAGGGUGCGUAGGUGGUCCUUCAAGUCGGUGGUUAAAGGCUACGGCUCAACCGUAGUAAGCCGCCGAAACUGGAGGACUUGAGUGCAGGAGAGGAAAGUGGAAUUCCCAGUGUAGCGGUGAAAUGCGUAGAUAUUGGGAGGAACACCAGUAGCGAAGGCGGCUUUCUGGACUGCAACUGACACUGAGGCACGAAAGCGUGGGUAGCA